UCCCUGGUGGUCCAGUGGCUAUGACCCUGCACUCCUAAUACAAGGGUCCCAGGUUCUAUCCCUGGCCAGGGAA